rnacentral:rRNA from 1 species
AUUGAACGCUGGCGGAAUGCUUUACACAUGCAAGUCGAACGGUAGAGGGGGCAACCCCUCGAGAGUGGCGAACGGGUGAGUAAUAUAUCGGAACGUGCCCAGUCGUGGGGGAUAACGUAGCGAAAGUUACGCUAAUACCGCAUACGAUCUAAGGAUGAAAGCGGGGGAUCGCAAGACCUCGCGCGAUUGGAGCAGCCGAUAUCAGAUUAGGUAGUUGGUGGGGUAAAGGCGCACCAAGCCAACGAUCUGUAGCUGGUCUGAGAGGACGACCAGCCACACUGGAACUGAGACACGGUCCAGACUCCUACGGGAGGCAGCAGUGGGGAAUUUUGGACAAUGGACGCAAGUCUGAUCCAGCCAUUCCGCGUGCAGGAUGAAGGCCCUCGGGUUGUAAACUGCUUUUGUACGGAACGAAAAGGUCUCUCUUAAUACGGGGGACUCAUGACGGUACCGUAAGAAUAAGCACCGGCUAACUACGUGCCAGCAGCCGCCGUAA